rnacentral:lncRNA from 10 species
UGGAACUUCGCUCUUGUCGCCCAGGCUGGAGUGUAAUGGCGCGAUCUCAGCUCACUGCAGCCUCUGCCUACUGGGUUCAAGCAAUUCUCCUGCCUCAGCCAGUUGAGUAGCUGGGAAUACAGACACCUGCUACCACGCCUGGCUAAUUUUUUUGUAUUUUCUUGGUAGAGACGGGGUUUUAUCGUGUUGACCAGGCUCCAGGCUGAUCUUGAACUCCUGACCUCAGAUGAACCACCUGCCUCGGCCUUCCAAAGUGUUGGGAUUGCAAACAUGAGCCACUGCGUCAGGCCCAUUAUCUUCUUUUACAGCGGAUGACAUUGAGCCUCAGAGAGGUGGGUCAUUUGCCUUUACCGAGUCUCACACCCGCCAGGACCCAGCUGGGAUUGCAGUCCAGGGCCACUUGCUCCGGAGCUGAGUUGGUGAUGACCUGGCAGCUCUGCCCUUCUGGGGGUCUUCCUGGGAUCCUCUGAGCCAGCCCCACUUUCCUCUGUUGAUCUCUGUGGGCAGCAAAACCCCCUCUGUAUUUUCCCUGAGCUCUUCACUGUGGUCUCCCCACUCCUCUGGGCUUGGACCCCCACCUGUCCAUAACCACCAUCCCCUGCUACCUUGCCUAGGACAUUCCCAAUAAUGCUCUGGAAUUUGGGGGAUGCUACAUUAUUUCCUUCUUGGUCUUUGCAGCUCUAAAUGUGCCCGAGAGUUCAGGCGUGCAUUCAGUUAGGAAGGCCUGAGCCUGUGCUCCCCGAGUGUCCUGCCUUCUCUUUGGAAGUUCUUCGUCUGGGGAUCUUGCCUCAUUACCCGAGGACUCCACUCUCUCUUUGGCCCAGAGACCCUGGCUUGGCUUCAGAGACCGCUGCAAGGAGCGCAGAGUGAGGGGAUGGAAGAAAUGUGAGAGAGAGAGUGGGUCCUCUGAACCGGCAAGGGGAAGGCAAACCCAGGCCAUAUUUACACGUCCAUUUACAAGUCCGUGUGUCCAUUUCACAGUCUUCAGCAUACAGCAUCCCACCCAGUUAACAGAGGACACUGCUCCUUCAACUUCCAGAUGGAUCCCUCAUAGACGUGGGAGGCUGGGGGUCCGCAGCGCAGUCUCCAUGAUUACUCCAGGGAUCAGGACAGCCUGCUUGGCCGCCUGGAUGUGGCCAUCCUACACCAGGAUGCACGCAGAGUUGGAGAGCUUUGAGUGAGGCACAUUGAUGCCUUGGAGCCAAGACAAUUUGCAGAGCUGCCCUAUCCCAUCUGAGGACCUGUCCCUGUGCCAUUGUGCCUCCUUCCUGUGCGUGGUCACUUACAAAAACAAUGAAGGGUUUUCACCGUGACUUUCAGCCUGCUCUGCUCCUGUCCUGUCACCUGCCGCUGCUGUGCACUCUCUCUUUCCCCUCUUCCCUCCCUGUUACUUCCCUUAUACAUUCCCUUUCUUUUCCGGGAUGCUUUUUGUAGAUUCCUCAGGGCUCCCACAGCUGUCAACAGUGAUAAGAGUGAAGACUUUCAUUUUGCCUACUGACUAGGACAUGUGCACCAUCUUUGAAUCUUUGGUUAUUUUUAUUCUCAAGAGACACUGUACCCACUGCAGUCUCUGAGGUUCAGAGAAACCCCAGGCAAUCCAUGUUCUCUGUGUGCCCUAUGAAGAAGUGAGUUCAUCCUUGACUUCUACCUUUGGGUGUAAGCAUUCCUGACAUUCAGUGACGAAGGCAGUUAGUGCUCUGCACCAUCUGGGACUGGUAUGGAAGGGAGGGUCAAGUGAAAUUCAAAAUAUAUCAUCAAAACUCAACUCUGAGAUCACCCUAGGGGUCUCACAUUGCUAUCAGCAAUGAAAGAGUUCCACGGGAGUGAAUGACACCCAGAGAGACCCAUACUCAAAAGCGUUCUUCAUGCUGUUCAAAGCAUCAUUUAACAUUCGUGGUGUUUCUGUUAUCAGUUUCAGCAGUAGGUAAGAACUAGCGCAACCUGGAAAGGGGACGAUAGGGCUCCAUGGCUUUAAGUUAGCCGUUGGAUUUCAAAUGGAACCUGGAAACAGGACAAAUCCAAGAGAGCUAGGUGCUGGACACACACAUUGGUGUCAGGCUCUCCUAUAGAAAGAGGGCUGGCCAAGGAAAGACUGAAGGGAAAAUUUAGAGAUCAAAGGAGAAGCCAAGUCACAUAUGCAGUGGGUAUGUUUUAUGAAAUAUUGCAUUUUUAGAAAAAGUCAUAUGGAAGAUAUACUAUAGGUAUAAUGUAAUACUAAUAAACCAAACACACACAUACCCACUACUCAAUUAAUGAGAGUGAACAUUAGCAACUCUUUGAAGUCUGCCAUGGCAUCUUCCUCCCUCAGCAUCAUCCUCCCUUCCUGAGACCAUCAGAGUCAAGUUUUGUGGGUACAAAUCCUUACUCUUUUUCAUUUUUUUUUUUUUUGUUACACAUGUACCAAUUCCUAAAUGGCAUUUUGUUUGGUUUGCAAAAUUGUUGACUUUAUAUAAUUGUCACUGCACUAUAUGCAUUAUUUUGUGGUUUGCUUUUUUGUUUAAUGUUAAGUUUGUGAGAUUCUUCCAUGGUGAUGAAUGGAAGGAAUCAUUGUUCAUUUAUUUUUACUGCUUUAUAGCAUUCUGUUAAAUGGGGAUGAAAUUAUUUACCCAUUUCUCUGUCAGUGAAUUAUGUUCAGGUUUUUGUUACUAUAAUAGCUUCUACAAAUAUUCUUAAACUUGUUUCCUGCUGCAUAUAAGCAAAUAUUUUAUAUAUAUAUUUGUAUAUUUAUAAUAUAUAUAUAAUUUGUGUAUAUAUAUAAUUUGUUUAUAUAUAUAUCUGUGUGUGUGUGUGUGUGUAUGUGUGUGUAUUUCAGGGCAUAGGGUAUGCAUAUCUUUUAAUUUAAUGAGGAGAUGCUUAUUUGUUUUCAAAGUGCCUGCAUCGUUUUGCACUCCCACCCAAAAUUCAAUUGCUUCUCCUACCUGUCAGAAGUUACUACUGUAAGAUUUUUAACGAUAUUUCCAGAGCUGGUGGGUGUGAGAUAGUCAUUAUGGUUCUAGCUCCCCAUUUCCAUGAUUAUUAGUGAAGCUCAGCAU